rnacentral:rRNA from 1 species
UGCAAGUCGAACGCGUUGGCCCAAUUGAUUGAUGGUGCUUGCACCUGAUUGAUUUUGGUCGCCAACGAGUGGCGGACGGGUGAGUAACACGUAGGUAACCUGCCCAGAAGCGGGGGACAACAUUUGGAAACAGAUGCUAAUACCGCAUAACAGCGUUGUUCGCAUGAACAACGCUUAAAAGAUGGCUUCUCGCUAUCACUUCUGGAUGGACCUGCGGUGCAUUAGCUUGUUGGUGGGGUAACGGCCUACCAAGGCGAUGAUGCAUAGCCGAGUUGAGAGACUGAUCGGCCACAAUGGGACUGAGACACGGCCCAUACUCCUACGGGAGGCAGCAGUAGGGAAUCUUCCACAAUGGGCGCAAGCCUGAUGGAGCAACACCGCGUGAGUGAAGAAGGGUUUCGGCUCGUAAAGCUCUGUUGUUAAAGAAGAACACGUAUGAGAGUAACUGUUCAUACGUUGACGGUAUUUAACCAGAAAGUCACGGCUAACUACGUGCCAGCAGCCGCGGUAAUACGUAGGUGGCAAGCGUUAUCCGGAUUUAUUGGGCGUAAAGAGAGUGCAGGCGGUUUUCUAAGUCUGAUGUGAAAGCCUUCGGCUUAACCGGAGAAGUGCAUCGGAAACUGGAUAACUUGAGUGCAGAAGAGGGUAGUGGAACUCCAUGUGUAGCGGUGGAAUGCGUAGAUAUAUGGAAGAACACCCAGUGGCGAAGGCGGCUACCUGGUCUGCAACUGACGCUGAGACUCGAAAGCAUGGGUAGCGAACAGGAUUAGAUACCCUGGUAGUCCAUGCCGUAAACGAUGAGUGCUAGGUGUUGGAGGGUUUCCGCCCUUCAGUGCCGGAGCUAACGCAUUAAGCACUCCGCCUGGGGAGUACGACCGCAAGGUUGAAACUCAAAGGAAUUGACGGGGGCCCGCACAAGCGGUGGAGCAUGUGGUUUAAUUCGAAGCUACGCGAAGAACCUUACCAGGUCUUGACAUCUUGCGCCAACCCUAGAGAUAGGGCGUUUCCUUCGGGAACGCAAUGACAGGUGGUGCAUGGUCGUCGUCAGCUCGUGUCGUGAGAUGUUGGGUUAAGUCCCGCAACGAGCGCAACCCUUGUUACUAGUUGCCAGCAUUAAGUUGGGCACUCUAGUGAGACUGCCGGUGACAAACCGGAGGAAGGUGGGGACGACGUCAGAUCAUCAUGCCCCUUAUGACCUGGGCUACACACGUGCUACAAUGGACGGUACAACGAGUCGCGAACUCGCGAGGGCAAGCAAAUCUCUUAAAACCGUUCUCAGUUCGGACUGCAGGCUGCAACUCGCCUGCACGAAGUCGGAAUCGCUAGUAAUCGCGGAUCAGCAUGCCGCGGUGAAUACGUUCCCGGGCCUUGUACACACCGCCCGUCACACCAUGAGAGUUUGUAACACCCAAAGUCGGUGGGGUAACCUUUUAGGAGCCAGCCGCCU